ensembl:lincRNA
GAAUCCACAGACUGGUCUGGCGGGUGGCUGGUCACUGACUGCAUGGAGCAAGGCUCUUCUCUAAUGCUGCUGAACAGAGAGGAAAGAGAAUCAGUGGGAUCCCAAAGCCACUAAAGGAAAGGGAAGUUUAUGAAGCCACUGAGAACCCAGAAAUCCAGCAAUCUCUUCUAAUACCAAGAUGUCCCUCCUUAUUACACCAGCCACGGGCCAUGGAUUAGCACCAGUCUGCAGGAUCACGUCCAGGCUUGUUUUUCUGGUGUCCAGGAGCAAGACUUCUCCUCUCAGAAGUCACCUACACCCUUCACACAGUCAGGAUAAUGUGGUUCAGAUCCCUGCCCGCACUUGGCCUGGCUGCUUAGGCCCCUCCAAUAACUUCCCAUUUCCUGCAACACUGAGCCCAACGCCCCUCAAGCCUUGCACCCCACCCAUCAGACCAGUCCACUUUCCUUCCCUCCGAAGUGGACUGCUAGGCAGAUUAAAGCUCACCAUCCCCUCCAUCUGGGGGAGAUGCACUGGCUCUUCCCUCAAAUGCUUCCUAACCCCUCUGCUUGGGGACAGUCGCUACUGCAUCCAGGCCUCCUUUUCACUCCCCCCUGACUCUGACAGCCCUCUGAGGUACAUAACUGUGCUCUUCACUUCUGGUCAGUGUCUUAGCACACAAAUCUAGGACUGCAGGGCCUCUGCCCUGACUCCGUUCUGAGGCUCCUGGGCUCACUAGUCUUUAGGCAACUGAUCUGCUCCUAGAGCAAAGCAUGGGCAACAACCUCAGACAUGAACUUCAGGGAAAGGGUGUCCUCCACAUUUGGACUGUGGGCAGCUGCCAAGGGCUGGAGGCAGACCUUAUUGAAAGGAGUUCCUCCCAUCACCUCUGCCCAACCUGUCACAGGAUAAGAGAUGCAUGGGCCUGUGCCUGCCCUGUGUAAGCUCCUCUCUCCCCAAAGGGCAGAAGCCCUUUUCUCACCCCACCCCAUUCCUUAACAACUGCCUGGGAUGGAAGGUGCUGGAACCUGGAAAUAGCUUGCACACUAUCUACCUGGCCACCCUGUCUCACCUGCAGGAUGGGCAGGACAAGUGGAGCUGUCACCUGACUAGGCACCACCAUUGGGCCACAGCCAAGGGGAGGCCCGGAGGGCAGCCACACAGCACUGCACUAUAGCACAGGUGGGUGGGCAGGAAAGGCAGGGACCUCUUGCUCCCCGCAGCUGCAGGAGUCCAUGGGGAGCUUUCCUUCCUACGAAGUUCAGGCGUCAAGGUCACCCUGCCCCACUUUCAGCAACAAUCCACUGAUGCUGUUGCAGCAGAGCAGAGCCAGUUCUGAGGGCAAAGAUUCGGCUCCACUGGCAAGGUUUUAUUAAGAACAAGCAGCCAAAUCAUUAUUGAGCUUUUUUCCCCUCAGCUCAUGGCUCAGAAAUAUGCCUGUAAUAUUCUGGUAGUUUAGUCCCACAUGAUUAAGCACGGAGAUGCAUUUUUCCUCUUUCAACCAAAUGAGGGUGAGAAAAUUCAUUACUGAGCAUUUACCACGAGCCUCCAGAAAGGAAACUCUAACACUUACUGGGCUUCUAUUCAACACUGGGGCAGGGAAUCUGGCAGUUUUCUUAGUGUUCCUCAUUUAAUCCUCCUCACGAUCCUAUGAGUUAUUAUCCCCAAGGUCGCAGAGCCAGCAAGUGGUAGAGCUGGGUACAAACACAGACGUGACGCUGAGGUGGAUGCCUCACCCGCCACCUUGUGCUGGCUUAUGCAAAGGUCGGACAAGCAAAAAAAACAGCAGAGCUCUAAAGGUAGGUUGUGGUUGGCUGGGCAGUUAGCAGGACUGCAUGUGGGAGGGCAGGUGGGGAGCAGGGUUCCUCUGAGCAGAGGGAACAGUGUGAGCAAACACAGAGGCUAGGAGAUAAAAAGCUUGUGAGAAGGGACAGGAGGCAGGAGGACAGGUUAUGGGGGACACAUGAAGGCCCCUCAGUCUGAGCUUUGUCUCAGAGAAAAUGGAGCUGGAUACAGUGUGUGAAGAGAGGGGUAGCAGGCAUUGUUCAGGAAAGCUUCAUGUGACUACAGGGUUGAGUUAAACCAAAUUGUCUCCAAGACGAGCCAUGGGGGGAGCGGAGGGGCAAGGGCAGAGCCAAGACUUGGGGGCAGGGUCAGGCGGCACAGGGCAGAGUGGCCGUGGCAGGAGCCUGGAUCUCCUGAGGCAGUGGGAGCCCCAGACAAGUCAGAAGUCAAGGGAAAUGUGCCAAGUGUGGUGGCUGUCCUUUCACAACAGGUCUGCACAGUCCUGCACAGUCCUCCCCACCCUGUGCACCCUCCCUACAAGACCCUGCCACUUGGCAAGGGAUGAACAGGUGACAGAAGUGGCACUGUGUGACUUCAGAGGCCGGGUUGGAAAAGGCAGUACUGUGUCUUCACGGAGCAUGCUCAGCCCGCGUAUUUUGGAAUUCAGCCUCCAACCAGCCAGCGCGCUGUGCGGAAGCAUGACAGACCCUACCGAGGCAGCCAUGUGGCAAGAAACUGAGACUCCAGCCACCAGCCAGCACCCACAGCAGACUUGCAGGUGAGCGCGGCUGCAGGGCAUGGCUCCCACACUGCAAGCUGCCUAUGAUGACCCAUGGAAUGCACUUUCCCUGCUAUGUCCUGCUUCCAUUACAAAUCCAUGAGCAAGGUAAAAUUCUCCUUGCCUUGAGCCACCAGGUUUUGGGGUGGUUUAAUACACAGCAUUAGAUCGCCAAGGCAACAGACCCACAGGACAGAAAAAUCUCACACUGCCAUGGGAGAGUGGUCAAGAGACACUGGACUAGGGACAGGAGUCUGGCAAGACAGAGGAUCUCAGGGCUGAGGCGGCAGAGCUGGGGAGGCACGGGGAGCAAAGGAGGCUGACAGCGGCCCUGUGGCAGGCCUGAGGCUUCUUGGCACUUGGCUUUGUGACCAGCAAAUGACAGAGCCAUUUCCUAAGUUCCAGCAAACCAGAUGAGGAGCAACACCAAGGAAUCACCCUGAGUUUGGGUCACCUGUGUAAGCUUUCUUUAUAGUCAGAUCAAAGCACAAAGAGCCACACUACUCUCAGAAAAAAAUAAAAACAACCAUUCAAUCUCACGAUCAAAGGAUCAAACCUUUUUUCCUAUGAAACAAUUAUUUUCUUUUAAUUCUUUCCCAAGUUGCUGGCUCAAGGGUCUUGCAGACUCGUGUGCUGUCUAGAAGAGCUGAGCCGUACCCCAUGCAAUCACACAAGCACAGGACGGACUGACUGCUGGCCCUUCAUAAUCAGUACGAGUGCCACCUCUUACCUAGGAGACCACUUGCCCUUAGCCUCCCGUGAGCCUGGCCCUAUCUUGGUGGUAGGUGCCACGUAAAC